GGCAGUGAGUCCAUGCAAAGGAAUUGUGUUGCAGCACAGUAUCUUCUUUCAUUUCUGAACCUGCAGCCUUGAAAUGGAUUAGCUGGCACAAUCGCCAGUGUGGUGCUUUUAUGAAGUUCUUCUCGCUGCAAACAUGGAGAGAUGUGCUGUGAUUUGCCUAAGCAGGAGAGAUUUGCUGUUGAGGACUGAGCUUUCUGUGGCAUUUCUGCCCGCCAUGACAAGUGUCUACGAUG